CCAGAGAAUUUAGCAGAGAUGCUUUAGUGCCUUCGGGAACUCUGAGACAGGUUGCUGCAUGGCUGUCGUCAGCUCGUGUUGUGAAAUGUUGGGUUAAGUCCCGCAAGAGCGCAACCCUUAUCCAUUGUUGCCAGCACGUAAUGGUGGGAACUCAAAGGAGACUGCCGGUGAUAAACCGGAGGAAGGUGGGGAUGACGUCAAGUCAUCAUGGCCCUUACGAGUAGGGCUACACACGUGCUACAAUGGCGCAUACAAAGAGAAGCGACCUCGCGAGAGCAAGCGGACCUCAUAAAGUGCGUCGUAGUCCGGAUUGGAGUCUGCAACUCGACUCCAUGAAGUCGGAAUCGCUAGUAAUCGUAAAUCAGAAUGUUACGGUGAAUACGUUCCCGGGCCUUGUACACACCGCCCGUCACACCAUGGGAGUGGGUUGCAAAAGAAGUAGAUAGCUUAACCUUCGGGAGGGCGUUUACCACUUUGUGAUUCAUGACUGGGGUGAAGUCGUAACAAGGUAAGCGUAGUGCU
rnacentral:rRNA from 1 species